rnacentral:rRNA from 1 species
ACGAACGCUGGCGGCAGGCCUAACACAUGCAAGUCGAACGUGAAGCCACCUUCGGGUGGUGGAAAGUGGCAGACGGGUGAGUAACGCGUGGGAAUCUACCCAAUGGUACGGAAUAACUCAGGGAAACUUGAGCUAAUACCGUAUGUGCCCGAAAGGGGAAAGAUUUAUCGCCAUUGGAUGAGCCCGCGUCGGAUUAGCUAGUUGGUGGGGUAACGGCCCACCAAGGCGACGAUCCGUAGCUGGUCUGAGAGGAUGAUCAGCCACACUGGGACUGAGACACGGCCCAGACUCCUACGGGAGGCAGCAGUGGGGAAUAUUGGACAAUGGGCGCAAGCCUGAUCCAGCCAUGCCGCGUGAGUGAUGAAGGCCCUAGGGUUGUAAAGCUCUUUCGACGGGGACGAUAAUGACGGUACCCGUAGAAGAAGCCCCGGCUAACUUCGU